rnacentral:rRNA from 1 species
AUUGAACGCUGGCGGCAUGCCUUACACAUGCAAGUCGAACGGCAGCACGGGAGCAAUCCUGGUGGCGAGUGGCGAACGGGUGAGUAAUAUAUCGGAACGUGCCCAGUCGUGGGGGAUAACGUAGCGAAAGCUACGCUAAUACCGCAUACGAUCUAUGGAUGAAANCGGGGGAUCGCAAGACCUCGCGCGAUUGGAGCGGCCGAUAUCAGAUUAGGUAGUUGGUGAGGUAAAGGCUCACCAAGCCGACGAUCUGUAGCUGGUCUGAGAGGACGACCAGCCACACUGGGACUGAGACACGGCCCAGACUCCUACGGGAGGCA